rnacentral:rRNA from 1 species
AAAAAUUUAAAGGUCGAACAGACCUUCUAUUAAAGCUGCUACACCUUAAAGAAAUUUUAAUUCAACAUCGAGGUCGCAAUCUUUCUUGUAGAUAAGAGCUCUUAAAGAAAAUUACGCUGUUAUCCCUAAAGUAACUUAAUCUUAUAAUCUUUAUUAAAGGAUCAUUCAAAAUAAUUGGCAAUUACCAUUUAAAUUUUAAAAACAGUUACUAUUUUUAUUUUUAUCGCCCCAAUAAAAUAACGUUAAUUAAAAAAAUUUUAAAUAACCAAUACAUUUUUUUAAUUUAAAUUAUAAAGUUUUAUAGGGUCUUAUCGUCACUUUAAUUUAUUUAAGCCUUUUUACUUAAAAGUUAAAUUCAAUCAAUUCUGUUGAGACAAAUUAUUUCUUGUGCGACCAUUCAUACAAGCCUCCAAUUAAAAGACAAAUGACUAUGCUACCUUUGCACGGUCAAGAUACCGCGGCCCUUUAAAUUUAUUCAGUGGGCAGGCCAGACUUUAUAAAUAUAAACAUAAAGAC